AGGGUCCUAUGUUGUUCGUAAUAACUUAAUGUUUGAACCAACACUUUAACGUCGGGAGCCUGGAUGUUUCGUUUUUAAUAACAUGCCUUGCAGUUAAAAAGACAAGGACGUUAGAAGAGAUGAACAAGGCACCCACCUGCCAAUAGCAGGUUCAAAUCUCCUAUAACGGCAAACACGGGACUCUU
rnacentral:other from 1 species